UAACCCUCAAGCGCAAGCUUGGUGUUGGGGACUGCCCUCCUUGCGGGGUGGCAGCCCUUGAAUCCGUCGGCAGUGCCGGUGCAGCCUGGAGCGCAGCAGCAAUGCAGCUACCUUGGGCUUGCCUGGAGCUCGCCAAAAACCGUCAAGGCCGUUUGGCCGCGACACCUUUUUUACUCUU
rnacentral:misc_RNA from 1 species